rnacentral:rRNA from 1 species
AAUAGAUACCCGGGUAGUCCAUGCCGUAAACGUUGGGCACUAGGUGUGGGGCUCAUUCCACGAGCUCUGUGCCGCAGCAAACGCAUUAAGUGCCCCGCCUGGGGAGUACGGCCGCAAGGCUAAAACUCAAAGAAAUUGACGGGGGCCCGCACAAGCGGCGGAGCAUGCGGAUUAAUUCGAUGCAACGCGAAGAACCUUACCAAGGCUUGACAUACACCGGAAAAGUGCAGAGAUGUGCUCCCCGUAAGGUCGGUGUACAGGUGGUGCAUGGUUGUCGUCAGCUCGUGUCGUGAGAUGUUGGGUUAAGUCCCGCAACGAGCGCAACCCUCGUCCCAUGUUGCCAGCGGGUUAUGCCGGGGACUCAUGGGAGACUGCCGGGGUCAACUCGGAGGAAGGUGGGGAUGACGUCAAAUCAUCAUGCCCCUUAUGUCUUGGGCUUCACGCAUGCUAAAAUGGCCGGUACAAAGGGCUGCGAUACCGCGAGGUGGAGCGAAUCCCAAAAACGCCGGUCUCAGUUCGGAUUGGGGU